UUACUUCAGUCUUGAAUCUCCAGUUUCUCUGAAAUAGAGAAGUUUGAAACGAGGAAAAACAGGGGUAAGAUUCCACAUGCUUGAUGCUUAUAUCAAUGUAUGAAUUGUUCUUCGCUUAUAUCAAUGUAUGAAUUGUUCUUCUGGAUUCAUGUUUAUUUAGCUUAUCUAGUUUGAUUGUUGAUUGGAAUAAUUUCUGUGGCUGUUCGAUAUGUUUUGAGUAACUAGGUAGGAUUUCUUUCUUUGAUUAUUUAAUCUCCAUUUUGCGAGCAUUUUUCGUCGAUUACGAUAAAUUUCAGGCAACAUUCUCUAAAUUGGAGCUAUUCGCGAUCUCGGCUUAGGAUCAUCGUUCGAUUUCCAGUUCUAAUAGUAAAUCGAACAUUCUACUUGAAUAUAUUAUUGUGUUUUUCUUUCGGAAGGUCGUUUCGGAAAGCUGGAUCAAUGACGAAUGAGCUGAAUAUAAUUCUUCUAUUUUAAUACUUGCAAAUGUUUUCUUCUUUGAUUUCGUUGGAUACUGGAUUGCAAUCUCCUCUUUAGUGCAUUAUUAUUGGAGUCGCGUAAUGAACAAUGAUUUUGAUCUUGCUGUUUAUCUUCUGUUGCCGGAAGAACAUUCAGCCAGAAAAGGAAAACGGGCAAAGAAAUAAAUCAAAAUGAAAAUUACUGUAGGUUACAUUAAUUUGGGAUGUAGGAGAUACAAUGAGACACUCAACUCUUAAGACUGGACCAGAAAGCACAGUGCUCUUAAUGUUUCACUUUCCCUAUAUUUUGAAGAUUAGGAGUUUGUUCUUUAUGGACUGUGAUUCGAGAUCUGGAGACAAAUUUUAAUCUGGUAGUUAAUCAGUGGCUGACAGAGCCGCAGCUACAAUCUGUGGAAGAUGAAUAGUUUAUGACAUUUGGCUAAAAAUCAGAGUAAUGCUUCAUCUGAAAUUGGUGUUGCUGAGCAUAGCAAAAGCAUAUACCUGGAACUUCAGCGAAAGAUGGUUCACCGACAUGUGAAUUUUAAGAUUGAUGAAAAGAAAAAAGCCCAGAUGGGAUUUUCGAUGAUUUCACUUCUUCAUUACCUGAGAGUGAUUGUAGAUAUGCAGUUCAUGAUUAUACUGCCUGGUUUAUUUUCAUUCUUUCAAACAGUUUUUUCCUUGUUAGAACAGUAAUUUGAUUUGUAGUUUAGCAGUUUCAACCUCUUACUAUUUGAUUAAACGAGUUCAGUUCCUUAUGUUUGAUUCUGCUUUAGUUUAAUAUUCAACUAUUUCAUUAUAUAGCAAGCAUCUUUCUUUAUGUGUUGAAUCUCAGGUGUUAUUUCUAGCUUAGCUAGCAUGAACCGAAAACAUGGAGCUGUCACAUUUCUUAUGUGUUUGGUUGACUUUCUUUCUGAUGUUGUUUCAUGAAAUUGUGUACAAUCAAACUUUAUCUAUGCCAUUGUUUCUUUAACAAGAGGGAUUUGAGAAGUUUAUACAAAGGGUUGUUUUAUACCUAUCUGAGAUUAGUAUUAGUUUGUUAUCAAUUUGCUUCACUUGAUUUGUCCGGUUGAUGUUAUAGCACUAUAAGGUGUUUCAGUAUCAAACAUCUAUAUCAUGGCCGUGAUUGUCUGAAGUUUUCACACUUGAUUUCUUCUAUUUUCUGAACACUAGCAAGCAUAUUGAAUGUUUUAUAAUGUCAUUCUAGUUUUGCAGGCAAAGGAAAUGAAGUAAGGUAUGCAACUAUAUAAAAUAAUCUCGCUCAAGAUGAUUAAUUGAGCGUAAAGCUCUCUUGAAGAACUCGUAGGAUAUCUUUAUUUGAUGUUUACAGAAUAAAGAGGACGAGUACAACUAACGAAACGGAAAUAAAAAAAUUACCCUACUAUUCCCUACAUCAGUUCUUAUGACUUGUUAUAGUUAACACUUUUUUGCAGGUCUCCAGCUUCGAGGGAGUCCUACAUUGGCUAAUUAAGGAUAUAAUCAUGGGUUUAUAAGUGAGAAAUACCUCUCCAUUGGUACGAGGCUUUUUGGGAAACCAAAAGCAAAGCCACGAGAGUCUAUGCUCAAAGUGGGCAAUAUCAUACCAUUAUGGAGGGUCGUGAUUCCUAACAUCCAUUACGAGAUCCAGACAACUGACCCAACUGAGAAGGAUCUUGAAGUCCUUAGAGACCAUGCAAUCUGAUUCUAAGCAUUACACUUGGAUUUGGGCUCGUGACUUUGAUAACCGCUGCAGCAGCAGGAGGGUAACUUGAGCUUCCUCACUGUCGUUAUGCUUCUAAGGAAAGGCAAAGGACGGAUAAGAAAUCCACGAUAAUAAGGGAGGCUUUUGGAGGAAAGGAGAACAACCAACCACUUAUCGAUGAGGGCCUUAUCAAAAACAGAUUAUGAAUCUGAUAGCAACACCAUAAGUUCUCUGAUACCUGACUGUGAAGCAAGAAAAGGCAAAAAUCUGUCAAAUGGUCCCAUGAAGAAAAGAAA